AGCGAACGCUGGCGGCAGGCUUAACACAUGCAAGUCGAACGGACCCUUCGGGGUUAGUGGCGGACGGGUGAGUAACACGUGGGAACGUGCCCUUAGGUUCGGAACAACACAGGGAAACUUGUGCUAAUACCGGAUGUGCCCUUCGGGGGAAAGAUUUAUCGCCUUUGGAGCGGCCCGCGUCUGAUUAGCUAGUUGGUGAGGUAAAGGCUCACCAAGGCGACGAUCAGUAGCUGGUCUGAGAGGAUGGCCAGCCACAUUGGGACUGAGACACGGCCCAAACUCCUACGGGAGGCAGCAUUGGGGAAUCUUGCGCAAUGGGCGAAAGCCUGACGCAGCCAUGCCGCGUGGAUGAUGAAGGUCUUAGGAUUGUAAAAUCCUUUCAGCGGGGACGAUAAUGACGGUACCCGCAGAAGAAGCCCCGGCUAACUUCGUGCCAGCCGCCGCGGUAACAC
rnacentral:rRNA from 1 species